AAGAGCCCUGCCAGCCCUGCCCUUGCGCAAGAUGAGAUCCAGGGGAAAUGGACGCUGUCUUUGCUCAGGAAACAUCUGGUUGAUCCACUAGUCCUCGGGCGGGUCACAGGCUGUUUUAUAAGUUAGCGGGGCAGAAUAGGAUGGGAAGACAAUGGCGCUUCGGCGAUUACUCAACCUCACCCUCACCGUCGAGUUACGGACCAGAAUGAGAAGUGAGGAAUCGGCCUCCCUAGCAGGCGCUGUCCUCCGGGGACCGGUGCCUCCGAAGCGCAGCCACAUUUCCUAGUUUGUAAUGGGAAACGAACGCUGUGUACAGGCGCUUAAAGUAGCUGGAACGGGAACCCGAGCCAAGCUGCAGAGAGGCGGGCGAGCUCCUCUUUGGAAGCUUUCAGCAGUCCCCUCAUUCUUCAAUACCAGACCUGAAAUACCGGCUCCUAAAGGAGGAGAAUAUUCACUCUCCCUUGGAAAAUGAAACUCCGCAUUCAUGGCAUCAAUUUUGACCUUGCAAAGACCUGGGAAUAUCAUUAUCAGUAAUCUCCUCCAUGCUGUGGUUGACAAAACUUGAGCCCACAGGACCGCAUCACUCAACACUCGCAGAGGAAACGCCAUCUGGACGCACUGAUUAUGAUCUGUCACGGUGCUCCCAGUACCAGGUGCCAUACA